CCAACCCUGUCCCUGUCCCCAACCCUGUCCCCAUUGUCACCCUGGGGUUGGGGUGUCCCCAAGGUGUCCCCGAGGUGUCCCCGAGGUGUCCCCAGGGGUGUCCUGGUGUCCCCGAGGUGUCCCGAGGUGUCCCCGAGGUGUCCCCAAGGCCGCCGUCCCCGAGGCGCCGCCGUCCCCCGGCGAUGGCAGCGAGGCCGAGGGGCCCCGGAAGGGGGAGGAGGAGGAGGGGCCCGGCCACAGAGAGCCCGAGGCCGAAGGAGCCCCGGCCCGCGAGGAGCGGCCAGGUGCCGAGGCCGAGAAGGGGGCGGGGCCAGAGAAAGGGGAGGAGAAAACCCCGGAG